CUCAAGGGGCCUCUAUGUGGCAGCUCUGAGCUAUUAAGCCUCAGCCACCCUUAGGGGAACUAUGCAAUGGAGCAGGGCAGAAAGUGCCACUAACUUCAGGAAACUCUUGCUUUCUGACGAGAGGAGAAGCAUGCCAAUAGAGGAC
rnacentral:lncRNA from 1 species